AUGGGGCCUUUUCCUUCCUCUAAUGGGUAUACACAUAUUUUAGUGGUUGUUGAUUACAUUACUAAGUGGGUAGAAGCUAUUCCAACUAGUAGUGCUGAUCAUAAUACCUCUAUUAAGAUGCUUAAAGAAGUUAUUUUUCCGAGGUUUGGAGUCCCUAUAUAUUUAAUGACUGAUGGUGGUUCACAUUUUAUUCAUGGUGCCUUUCGUAAAAUGCUUGCUAAGUAUGAUGUUAAUCAUAGAAUUGGAUCUCCAUAUCACCCACAGUCUAGUGGCCAAGUAGAACUUUGCAAUAGAGAGCUUAAAUUAAUUUUGCAAAAGACUGUUAAUAGAUCUAGAAAGAAUUGGUCCAAGAAACUUGAUGAUGCAUUAUGGGCUUAUAAAACUGCAUAUAAAAAUCCUAUGGGUAUGUCUCCAUAUAAAAUGGUUUAUGGUAAACCAUAUCCCUUACCUCUUGAAUUAGAACAUAAGGCAUAUUGGGCUAUUAAAGAGCUCAACUAUGACUUCAAACUUGCCGGUGAGAAAGAGGCUUUUUGA
rnacentral:rRNA from 1 species